AUUGAACGCUGGCGGCAGGCCUAACACAUGCAAGUCGAGCGAGCGGCGGACGGGUGAGUAAUGUAUGGGGACUGCCCGAUAGAGGGGGAUAACUACUGGAAACGGUGGCUAAUAACGCAUACUAUCGGAUAACACAGAUGGGAUUAGCUAGUAGGUGGGGUAAAGGCUCACCCAGGCGACGAUCGCUAGCUGGUCUGAGAGGAUGAUCAGCCACCCUGGGACUGAGACCCGGCCCAUACGCCUACGGAGGCAGCAGUGGGGAAUAUUGCACAAUGGGCGCAAGCCUGAUGCAGCCAUGCCGCGUGUAUGAAGAAGGCCUUAGGGUUGUAAAGUACUUUCAGCGGGGAGGCGUUACCCGCAGAAGAAGCACCGGCUAACUCCGUGCCAGCCGCCGCGGUAAUUC
rnacentral:rRNA from 1 species